rnacentral:rRNA from 1 species
GAUCAUGGCUCAGGAUGAACGCUAGCUACAGGCUUAACACAUGCAAGUCGAGGGGCAGCAUGGUCUUAGCUUGCUAAGGCCGAUGGCGACCGGCGCACGGGUGAGUAACACGUAUCCAACCUGCCCAUCACUUGGGAAUAACCUUGCGAAAGUAAGACUAAUGCCCAAUGAUAUCCCACGAAGGCAUCCGAAUGGGAUUAAAGAUUUAUCGGUGAUGGAUGGGGAUGCG